UUACGACCACAUCACGUUGAAAUACCGGUUCCCGUACAUACACCGAAGUUAAGCAAUGCCGUGUCAGGCCAGUACAUAUAUGAGUGACCACUUGGGAAUACCAGGUGUUGUAAG